rnacentral:lncRNA from 1 species
GGCCUAGGGUUGGUCCAUUCCGCAUGUCUUUGCCGGUUGCCAGGUUACCUUGUCCCAGGGUUGGUGCUAAGACCUGGCAGUUUUGCAUCGCUGUGUUUGUGCGUUUUCUGUGUCGCGGUAGGCUGGGGCUCUUUCUGACUCCGUUUAUGUUGGGCUCCUGUGGGGUCAGUUCCUAGCUGCCAAGAGCUUUAUCCAAGCCCGUGCUGCUCAGCCUUAUUUUCAGUGCCAUGAGCUCCGUGGACUCCGUGAGCUCCGUGUAUGUCUUGCUCGGUUAACCAAGAGCGCCCUGUGCUGGAGACAGCCCCUGCUGGCGGCGUUUUUAUAGUAGUUGGUUGCAUUUGCAGCACUCCGUGGCUCUGUCAGACUCUCUUUGUGUUGGUCUUUAUUGCAGGUGCUGUGUGGAUUCUUUGAACAGUUGGCCGGUGUACCUGUUGGUUCGGAGGUGGCCCGACCUUGCUGUUUGUCGUGCUGGGUUUCGUCAUCCGUAUCCCUGCUGUCAGCGCCCUGGGCGCGUGGAGCGGUCGUUAUUGCAGAGCCGGUGUUCAGUUCAAGCCCUAGUUGGCCGUUUAGUCAACCCUCAGCGGGCACAUGUUUGGCAUUCUCGCGUGUCUAUCGUCCAUUCCUUCAGAUGGCGUCCGUCAGCGUUUGUUGAGGGAUCCGUCGCGUUUGUGGCCGGUGGGUCAGUCUGUGCGCGGUUGGAGAGCGCUGGUUUGACCUCGUCCUUGUGGUUUUGGCAGCGUUCUGUUUGUUUGCUCUUUUGCCUGUGUAGAGAUGGCGUGUCCGCCGUCCUUGCUGCUGGAGUAUCGUUUGGAGGUCGUUGAGG